rnacentral:lncRNA from 1 species
AGAAAAAAAAAGUGUAGCACUGUUCUAUUUGGGGUUUCAGACUCCCACACAUUCCAAGUGGGAGAAAGGACAACUUUCUAGAACCUUUCCUUGCCCACGGCAAGAGAGGACGGAAAUGCUUUAACCCCCUCUAGUGACAGACGAGUCAUUACUCAGUGCAGUUGUUCAAAGUUGGAGUGAUAAUACCAUAGGGAGAAAAGGGUCAUGCUUCAAGAAGUUUACAGGAAAGGAAAGUGGAAGACUGAAGCCCAGGGAGGAAGCAUUGCAAUCACAUCAGGGAGGUUCCUGAGAUCAUUUUCUACUGUGCAACUUAUGGAUUUUUUGGGAAAC